CCUACGGGAGGCAGCAGUGAGGAAUAUUGGUCAAUGUGCGCGAGUCUGAACCAGCCAAGUAGCGUGAAGGAUGACUGCCCUACGGGAUGUCAACUUCUUUUGUGCGGGAGCAAUAAUGGUCACGUGUGGCCAGACGAGAGUACCGUACGAAUAAGCAUCGGCUAACUCCGUGCCAGCAGCCGCGGUAAUACGGGGGAUGCAAGCGUUAACCGGAUUUAUUGGGUUUAAAGGGUGCGUAGGCUGUGCGGUAAGUCAGCGGUGAAAUGCCCCCGCUCAACGGGGUGAAGUGCCAUUGAUACUGCCUAGCUGGAAUGCGGAUGCCGUGGGAGGAAUGUGUGGUGUAGCGGUGAAAUGCAUAGAUAUCACACAGAACACCGAUUGCGAAGGCAUCUCACGAAUCCGCGAUUGACGCUGAUGCACGAAAGCGUGGGUAUCAAACAGGAGUAGAUACCCUAGUAGUC
rnacentral:rRNA from 1 species